UACGUAGGGUGCGAGCGUUAAUCGGAAUUACUGGGCGUAAAGCGUGCGCAGGCUGUUCUGUAAGUCAGAUGUGAAAUCCCCCGAGCUCAACUUGGGAACUGCGUUUGAAACUACAGGACUAGAAUAUGUCAGAGGGGGGGUAGAAUUCCACGUGUAGCAGUGAAAUGCGUAGAGAUGUGGAGGAAUACCAAUGGCGAAGGCAGCCCCC
rnacentral:rRNA from 1 species